rnacentral:lncRNA from 1 species
UGGCAAGUUGCCGUGAGAGCCGCCACCUGGCUCCUUUACUUCUUCAUCUUGCGCAUCAGGCCCGCCAGCUCCUCACGCUUCCGCUUGCCGCGGAUGUGGGUGCCCAGCUGCGAAAGCAAUCCGACGGGAACGGUCGUCAGGGGCGCCGCAAAAGCAUUUUUCCUUUUGCAAAUGCGAUCCCUAGCUUGCCUCAGCACAGGGCCUUUAACUGAGCCCGCAGGCGGCAGCCGCCAAAGAUGCGUCGCUCACCUUCCGCUUGGCCACCUUCAGGGCGCGCUUAUCCUUGCCAACCUUCAGAAGCUCCAUGAUGCGCUUCUCGUAGGGGGCCAGGCCGGCCACAUCGCGAAUCACCUCGCGGACGAACUUGACG